rnacentral:rRNA from 1 species
UUCCUCCCUCACGCAGCACGCCUGCGUGGUGUUGGGGCGUUCUGCGACCAAGCGCCCGCGCGAGCGGGCGCUCCGCAGCCCCCGAAAGCCAAUGGCGGGCCGGCAGCGGGCUCCGAGCGCAGUAAGCAGCAGUGCCCUCGCUCUGGACGCCCCCGCCAGCGCCCUGCCCAUACCGGCAGACCCAUGUGAGUGACGUCUCCCACCCUUUCUAAGGU